rnacentral:sRNA from 1 species
AUGUGCAGCCUUACACUCCGGAUCCUAUGCGCCGUCCGAGCUCGCCUGCCAAUUGCUUGCUACGUUUCGUCAGCC